GGGGAAGGGCGGACGGGCGGAGGGCGACCGGAGGAUCCGCACCAGCGUAUUGUAACGGUCGAUUCUUAUCGAUUCCGGUAAACACGAUUUCCACGGACCGGCAAUUAAAAAAAAAAAUAAAUAAACGGACAAUAACGACAAUGAUAAAAAGUCACAGUCUCACGACCGAAACUCGUUUAACGGGGGAACAACGUGUGACAGAAAACGUUUUGUGCGCCUGAAUAAUAUGCGCGC